rnacentral:rRNA from 1 species
AGGGCACCACCAGGAGUGGAGCCUGCGGCUUAAUUUGACUCAACACGGGGAAACUCACCCGGCCCGGACACUGGAAGGAUUGACAGAUUGAGAGCUCUUUCUUGAUUCAGUGGGUGGUGGUGCAUGGCCGUUCUUAGUUGGUGGAGUGAUUUGUCUGGUUAAUUCCGAUAACGAACGAGACUCUAGCCUAUUAAAUAGACGUCGGGUUCUCUGCACUCGACGGUCUUCUUAGAGGGACAAGGUGCUUUUAGCACCGCGAAACAGAGCAAUAACAGGUCUGUGAUGCCCUUAGAUGUCGGGGCCGCACGCGCGCUACACUGAAGGAAGCAGCGUGUAACAACCUUGUUCUAACGAACUGGGUAACCCGUGGAACUUCCUUCAUGAUUGGGAUAGGGGUUUGCAAUUGUGCCCCUUGAACGAGGAAUUCCCGGUAAACACUAGUCAUCAGCUAGUGCUGAUUACGUCCCUGCCCUUUGUACACACCGCCCGUCGCUACUACCGAUUGAAUGGUUUAGUGAG